AGUUCAACUAGCAAAAGAGCUAGACAAAGACUGGCCAUGGAGGUGAAAUUGCAUUUUUAAAAUUUCCUAAAAGCAUCCCUUCUGGAAUUCCUAUCAUUUUGCAGACUCUAGUAUAGACCAGACUUCAGCAUGUGUAAGAAUGAUAAAGAAAUAUUCUGAUUGACAUGAUGAGGUGGGGAUGAAGGAUCUGCAUUUCAAACAGACUCUCAGAGGGAAGAUCAGCUUGUACUUCCGGUCCUAGGAUUAUGACAGGUGCAUACAGAAAAAGCCUUAAGAUGGAAUCUCUAGGUCAUGAGUGCCAGAAACCGUGGUUUUUGUUGGGGUGAUGCAGGCCUGGUGGUGCUGGUGGUCAUCUCUGUCCUCACAUGGAGGGAUCCUCUGGGUGAAUGAAGCUAACACACAGGGGAUAGAAGCUGAAGAUGGAGAGGGAGCGAGAAGCUCUGACAGCACUGCAUCUAGUUUUGCUAAAGACUUUCUCCCUUAGAUUGCCCAUUCC